UACGUAAGGUGCAAGCGUUGUCCGGAAUUAUUGGGCGUAAAGAGCUCGUAGGCGGUCUGUCACGUCGGCUGUGAAAACCCGAGGCUCAACCUCGGGCCUGCAGUCGAUACGGGCAAACUAGAGUACUGCAGGGGAGACUGGAAUUCCUGGUGUAGCGGUGAAAUGCGCAGAUAUCAGGAGGAACACCGGUGGCGAAGGCGGGUCUCUGGGCCGUAACUGACGCUGAGGAGCGAAAGCAUGGGGAGCGAACAGG
rnacentral:rRNA from 1 species